rnacentral:misc_RNA from 1 species
UAAAACAUGUGCGACGCGAUGUAUUGAUCGACGAUUGUUGAAUAAAAAUUAAAAUAAAUAUGACUAUUGUGAUGUAACUUAAGUGUAAUUAUUGUGAUAUUAGUGUUAUAACUUACAAGUUAACAAAAUCCUCCUCAAAAAUGAUGGAACAUGUGAGGAUGUUUGAUUGGUGUGCGUCAGUCCAUGACCAAUAUUUUGUGGAGGAGGCAGAUCUAGACAACUGCAACACAGAGAAAAUACUUAGGAACAAGUUCCUGGACCCUCUGCUGUCCAGUGACUCCGAAGAUGAAGAGAGACAUAAUAAGAUAAACUGGGAUGAGAUAUUUAAGAAUAAACAAAUCCAGAAGCACAAACUAUUUGUGCCAUGUCUCCGACAAGUGCCGGCAUACCCCAAGCUGUCCAGCAUGGACUUCCGCAAGCACCUGCAGUUCCUCAAAGUGCUGAGUGCAGACAAUCCUCACAUUUUACCUGAUCUCUUUAUUGGUAAACCUACAAGGAAUGAUAUAAAAUUAUUUGAGACUGCAAAAGAAGAAUACCUAAAAGAACAAAAAGAGUACAAGGAAUGGGCCAAAUCUCUCUGGACAACAGACCACUGUAUCCGAGCCUUACGUCCCAAACCUACCAUAGAGACGGUGUAUGAAGCUGAGUACAAAGUACGAGCUCAGCGUGUGCAGUCACUGCCUAAGAACUAUGAUAUAGCUGCACAGAUACCCCUUGAAAGUACCAAGAGUAACUGUGAAUUGGUGCUUAAACAGGAGCUGAUUAAUGUACCUCUAUCAGACAUGGCACAAGUACAAGUUCCAGAUAAAAUUACAAAGGUGUUCAGCAUCAUCAGACCCUGCAGUGUACCAGAGCCUUGCCAUAAACAUCCUUACCAAAUUGUAUUGCCAAAUGAAAACGCAGUAUCAAUCCUACCUAUAACAGAGAUACACCGCGAGCUGGCGUCGUACGCGCUGAACAACGGCGCUCAGUAUAUUGCGAGUGAGAAUGCUCUCAAGUGUUUGGUGCAGUGGAAUAGACACUGGCUGUUGCCGCUGUCUGUCUGCAAUACUGUUGGGCCUGACGGCGAGGCAGUGAACGUGGUGGUGCUGGGCAGCGAGUUCUCCGUCAACAAGGAGGCUGCGCCCGUCAGGACAUACAAGGCUUUCAGACAUCUGCUCGAACACGCGCUUAUACCGUCGUCAGAAAAAGAGAGGGUAUUAGAAAACAGCAAAAGCAAGGCUAAGAAGAAACACACAUCGUCUCCUAAGUUUGACGUGUCGGCGGCCGCCAUUACAACUGACGUGGAGAUGACGAGUGACGACGAUGAUCAUCACUUGUGUAUCGAUACCGGAGAAGAAACCGACAUGGACUUGCCACUAUCGUCUCUGCUAAAGGGUCAGUCGAAACGUAUAAAGAGUUCCCCGCGCGCCGCCCGCGCCCCCGCCAGCCCCCGCGCCGCCGCCGCGCCACACGUGACGCGCGCCGCCGCCAGGCGAGCUAGCGACGACGUGGGGGAUAUUGGAGUCUAUACUUGCACUUGUAAAGACACAUUGUUCGAGCAGCCUCCGCGUCGUUCGUACAAAAGAUGGCAGUUCAGAGACAAGGCGACCAACGAACACCAUGACAUUAUCGUACACUGUGCACAUAAGACUAGAGAUAAAUCAGGUGAAAUUAUACUAGAACCGUUACCAGAAUACCAGAUGGACUUAGGUGCGAGCGAGCAAUCCGCCGACAGCCUCAGGAGCAUUGCGCUAUCACUUGCUCUCAGGAAGCAAGCCUCAGUACUCAAUGCCCGAAUAGACGGUCAAACAGGCGACGUGGCGACCUUCGAGAGCCUCACCUCUGAAGACCUGAAUCAGCAGCACUCGGUGCUGAAAAGACAAGCACUAGGCUCCGUGCAGGCGGCGCUGCAGCAGCUGCAGGGCCUGCUGCCAGGAGACUAUAUCCUGCAGCAUGAGCAAAGUCACGGGCCGAACUGCCUCCUGCUGUCUCCUACCGCGACUAGCGUGACCCCGCAGCUGCGGCUGAGCUUCGACAGCACACAGCUGGUGGAGGCUGAUGAGGCACACACUGUGAAGACUGUCCCUGUGCUGUGUGACGUACUACUGCCUUAUCAUAAACAUCGCAGAAUUCUGCCAUGCACCUUCACCCCGUACGAGAGCCAACUAGCCAAGGAGUCUAAGAAGCCGCAGUCUAAGAAGAAAUCUCCGCCUCAAGCCAUCAAGUUUAAAAGAAAGCCGCGAGUUCGUCCCUGUCGACUCGAAACGUAAUUUUAACUUGUAUGUAGAGGGGUUAAUCGACUUAACGAAGAGAUAUUUUUCUGUUGUUAAUAUUUAUUUAUUUUAUUAAUUUGUUACUUAACUAGCUAGAUGAACGGAAUAAGUUUUGUAAUCUAAUAAAAUAUUAUUAUUUUAACUAUAAAUUGUAAGCUCAAAUACAGCAAUACCUCAGUAUGUAUUUAAGUAAAUGAAAUGUAUUUACAUAAUUAUAAGAGUAAUAAAACAAUAAUAUUUAUGAAUUCGAGUGAUGAUAAAGAUGUAUUUAUUUAAUAGUGAAAGGCUACUAACAUAAGAGAUAUUUCAUUACUUCAUUAGAAAAUCAAAUCGCAUUAUAAGAAAAAAAAUGUGCUUAAAGUAAUAUAAAAGUGGUUGAAAAUAAAUUCUGCGAAAAUAAACUAAAUAAUUUCAUAAUAAAAAGUAGGCACUUGCUAAAAUGGCCACCCUAAGGAUUCUUUCACGCGGGCCAAGCCGCGAGUCAUCGUAGGCACAUUUUAAACGUCACGUUUCAGUUCACGCAGGUACCUUACGCUCAGUACUAAGGAACGUUCGGAUGUUUGUUUGUUUCACAUGUGGACAUCUUGUCGUUAGUGUGAAGCGGAGCGGCCGGCACGCGACCACACCGCCAAGUGGCCCAAGAGGAAACGAAGCAAGAAGAAGUGGUGAACUGACAUAAAUAACCGUUAAUUAUUGAUAAUAAUUUAUUAUUGCGUGUUUAUAUAAUCAUUUUAUUAUAAAUCUAGUGAUUAAAUAAAUAAUGUAUUACAUCUUU